AUGGUUGCAGCUAAUUUUUUCAGUAGUGUCCUGCCACUCCUGGGGGAUCUUACCAUGUUUGUCUGCAGAAGCUCUGCAUCUUUGUCAGUUGGUCGUCUGACCUCCCUUGAAUCACUAUCACUGGGAGUUUUACCUGAUCUGUGCUCUCUUGAAGGACUGUCUUCCCUGCAACUUCACUCUGUACAUUUCACAGAUGUCCCGAAGCUUGACGCAAGCUGCAUUUCACAGUUCCGGGUCCAGAGAUCUAUAUAUGUUAGCAGCCCUGUGAUGCUCAACCACAUGCUCUCGGCUGAAGGCUUUACAGUUCCGCCAUUUCUGUCUCUUGAAGGACUCAAGGAAUCCUCUGUUCUAUUUGAAGAAUCUGCAAAUUUCAAAUCUGUCAAAUGCUUGAGGUUAUUUGAUUGUGAAAUGAGUUCCCUGCCAAUAAAUCUGACGUGCUUCUCCAACCUGAUGGAACUCGAAAUCUUUAGGUGUCCCAAUAUAUCAUCUUUACCAGAUCUGCCAUCCUCCCUCCAGCACUUAGUCGUGUGGGAGUCUGAACUCUUGCAGAAGAGCUGCCGAGUACCUGAUGGAGAAAGCUGGCCAAAGAUUCAGCAUAUCCGCUGGAAGAAAUUCACAUAA
rnacentral:rRNA from 1 species